AUAAUUUUACAUAUUUUUAAACAGGUUCGAAAAUUCCAAGCUACCCAAAGGAAAUCAUUAUUCAAAGCGAUUGUUAACAAGGCUGAACAAAAAGAGAAGUUACUGCAGACAGCAGUUGCAACAAUGUCAGAAACCAAAAGAAAGAAUUCAGAGUUAAAGUUUAUCAUCAA